ACACGCUUCCGGUCGUCGUGGAGAUGGCGACGCAGCCAGACGUAGCGGUUUUGGCGCUGGCUCCUUCUGCGUUUUACGGGACAGAUGUUUUACGGUCCGUUUCUACUGCGUCUCUGGCUCUCAACUCGACGACGCCUCUCAUGGUUUAACCAGGCGUGGUCAGCCGGGGUCAGCACAGCUACCGGCUCAACUCGUCCGAUCGCCGGACCGCAGGCGACUUCCGAUUUCGGCCGUUAGGCCUAGGAUCCGAAGGACUCUGUUUCCGUGCAGCGUCUCUGCCCCACCAGAUACAACAUCUGGCCUAAAGCAGUGUUCCGGAUCUCCUUCCAAGACCUCAGGCGGGUCGUCAUUCAAUCCAGGAGGCGGCGGCGUCUCAUGGGCGUGUUGCUGGUGCUUCUUACUGGAUGGUGCUACAGAGGGAAAAGUGGUCGUGCUUGGGAAAGGCAAGUAUGGCCGCCGUAAGUAUAGAUAUUGUUUUUACCUUUGCUCGGACCCACCUUUAAGAAAUGCACAGUUCGCAUGUGUGCAUCUCUCAAUGCUUCUACAGUCGGCUGUUAAUAUUUGGAGUGCUCCAACUCUGUCAGCGCUAGUUUCUCUAGAUUAUGCAAAUGGGAUGCAACACUAAACCACAUAUGCUGUCGCAACAAACAGUGCUCUGCUGAAGCACGCACUGUGGAAUCUACUCUGGCUUUAUAAUGCAGCACAAAAUAGUUGACGCCAAGUAUAGCUACUUUUGUGACUCCGUUUUACCAAAAGCUCUGCCGAAAUAAACUUGCCACCUUAUAGGUAGUGCAAAAGAACCUCGCGUGCCUAACCUGGAGAAGGGCAUUUUUUUCAUAGGUAAAUUUUUUCUUAAACCAAUACCUUCAGCCUCCUUGAAAUGUUAACAUCAUGUGACACUCAGAAGAACAGUAAACCCCUUAAUGUUGGCGAACCUUUACUUUUCGCGGCCUUUAAUUUUGCGGAAUUCAGUGACUGCGAUUAUGUCCUUUGUGACCGAUUCGAGAAGAAAUAGGGGCCACCAAGAUAAGGGGGUUUUACUGUCCAUGGAGGAGAGAGGAAGUCACCUUUGUUUGUAUGCAAGAGUAAAACCAACAACAACAAUCAUGGUGCCGACACUUUGUGAGCCUAUCUGUGUCUAUUGAAUGAUAUCAAUUUUGUUUUUGUUCGUUAAAAAUUGUUGCCUGUCCACUGUGGGAUGUCGUCUUCAACACGAGCAGUGGUUUUCCUCUGAAGCAGGCAGCAUGGACGCGUGCCGCAGCACAACAUAGUUUAUUUGCAGGUGGUACCGCAGUUUGAAGGAUGGUUCGCACAAUAUGGGGGAAUCGCAAUUCAAUGUUCUACCUCGGGCGUAGACAAGAUUUGCUCAUUCUAAAUCAUUUUGUCUACAAAUCGGGAACUUGCAACGAAUGUACCCGCAUGGUUGGAAGGGCCAGACAAGCCUUGCGAGCGCUUCGUUUUCUAGCCUCUCAGUCCUGAACCUACUCACGCACCACAUGUGUAGAUGUUCCGGUACGUGGGAGCACUUAUUUGGAAAAUGGUGAAUGGCAACUGUUGUUAUCUUUAAGGUGGACUGCAUAUUUGCAGUACUUUUCCUCACUUAAAAAUAUGUCUUACUAAAAAUAUGUAGUAUAGCCGAUGACAAAAAGAGAAUGGCUGGGCGUCCUCCAGCACAUGCUUGUGCUUUUCACCCCGCUUUAGACAGAUGUGCUCGCUCCAGGCUCAUCAGGCGCUGAAACGUCAUCGAAGGUAGCAGACGGGCUGGAGGUCGAACAACGGAGACUUCUCCCUGCCUUUCUGAUGGUGUCAGUGAGCAUGUACUUCUAUACUCUAACUUAGCUUAACCUGCACAGAGCUGAGUAGAAUAGGCUUGGCAAGUGCCCUUAUUGCAUAUGCAUUUGUACAGCUGAGGCACUUUCUAAAUCAAGAACAUUGUGUACCUUACCUUCAAAAACACAUCAUUUUGGGGGUGCAAAAGGAAUUCUAAGGCAUAUUUUUGUUUGUAUUGUCCUAUUACGCAUCGACUCCUUCAACUUAAUGCGGAGUCGACCCAGCCUCUUGAAAAAUUUAAUGCUUGCCAGGUAAUUGUUUUGCAUUUAGUUGAUAUAUCAGUAUUCAGUUAGGUAUCCCAAGUCAUUAGUCGUUGAGGUGGAGUCUCUCUGUAAGUCACUCAUGUUUAACAGUCAUAGAAAUGCUUGUCAAAUAAUGGCACUGUCGAGGACAUGUAUUCAGCUCGAACAAUCGCUGGGCACAAGCUGGUCGUGUGGUUACAGGCAGCAAACAUCCCGGUUGGAACGUCCUAUUUCGCAAUGUAGCUGCAGACUAAAUGAGGGCCCCACUCAUAAACGUCUAUACUUUUAGUCUCUUUAAGCUGGACCACUUUUGAAACUACAAGCCUUUGCAGCAAAAACAGCAUGACGCAUGAUUAUAAGCUCGACGUACCAUGGCGUCCAACUAGAAGGUCACAUGGCUUGCUUUGUGCACUGAAUUUGCAAGGAUGGCUUGAAGCUUCUGUCGUGGUUAACUUUAAGCUGAGAUAGUUUAAAAUAAUGCUCUCAGUUUUUAGUGUUGCCCGGCAUGGUUAACAAGUUGGUGAUAUAGCGCUGCAUUGAAAAGUCUGUGCAUUCAUGACUGUAUCACCUUAUGAAUGCAAGCUACCUAUUAAACUCUUCGUUUUUCAGAGAAAUGAAAUGCACUUUGCUUCCAAUUGCACCCGCUUCUGUAACUUCAUGGUAUGAAGCACCUUAUGGCUGCAAGCUCUGACCGAUCUUGUUCUGUGGUCUGCGCAGGCCCAUAUGAGGGAGUCACUCCGAGAGCCUCACCAGAGUUUCCUGCCCGUGGUCGUUCUAAAUGUUUUUGUUGUAGCUACUUGGGUGCCUCAAGAUCUGGAGAUCCUAGUGGCCACAAGCUUGGACUCAAUCUUUUUCUGUGGUCUGGGCAGGACCAUGGGGGAGGUAAUCCCAGCAACAAGAGCAUCGCAGUAUCUCCCUGGCUGUGACUUUCGGUCUGCGUCACGACAGGGGAGUCCUCGUGCCACCAGGUGUUAGGUGCGCUCGCAGCACAAAUCUGGGUUGUGCUGAUCCUCUACGCACAAGUUAGGAACUCCUGAGUGGCAAGAGUGGGAGUUUGGUCUGACAGCUCAAGGGACACCAUUGUUCAGUAUUGAAUUUUUAAUAAUCUUCUUUUAAGCAAAGUUAAGCUUUGCUGCAUGCAGUUCUUGUAAAAAUAAAUACCUGCAACCAAAUUUACCAGGUCACGACAUUUCGCCUCUGCUCUUAGUGGUCCUGGUGAGCCUCGGAUAAGAGCUUACUGGUGUGCAAACACCAUGCUUGUUUGAAACCACUCACUGAUGUAGAGACUCGCUGACAUCCAGCAUUCCAAUGAAACGCUGGAUGUCCACAAGUCUUUCUUGAACAAUGCAAGCGGGGAAGGAACCAUACAAUCGUAUCGUAUUGGGGGACAUUCUACAGUUUUUUUUCUAUGUUUUACAGAUUUUUUUUAAAAAAGCCGUAAAAGCUACAUUUACGCGGUCUGUGCACGUGAGUUAUAUGGCCAGGGCGGCAUAGUAUAAAAGGCUAAUUUGUAAUGAUCCGUCGGCUUAUUACAGAGAUGUGCCAGACUUCUUUCAGAAAACUAGAUGGAGGUUCAUUCUAGCGUAGUUUUAUCCCGCGAAUCUGAAUAUCCCGUUCGUUUUCCUCAAAGAUAUAACUAAACAUGAGAAAACACAAAAAACAUCCCACCAACAGUGACAUCCUAAGAAGACCUUUCGGCCGCCAAGCGUGUGUCGCUUAAGGGCCGCGCGUCCAAUCGCAAGUUUUCUAGGUAUAUUCUCCGGCACUGGCACCAGUCGUGACACAUUUUUCUGCCCUUUUAAAAAAUAGCAUGUGCGUGCAUAGCUUUGAUAGGCGCUGAAGAUGCGUGAACAAAGAUUUUGAAAGCUGCUGUUGUGACGUCGCUCUCUAGGGAGGCGCUUUCACAGCUCUUUAAAAAUGACUAUGCAGCCUUGAUUAAUUAAAUUAGCAAAUAAUUUUGAUAUUUGAGAUUCUGGAGGUCGAAUGAAGGAGAUUUAAAAGUGUUUUCUCAAAUACAAAACUGCUUCAGCCUCUCUCUAAGUAUAGUAUGUUCGUGAAAUUUUUAAUCAGUGAAAAUAGACCCAUGGUUCCAAUUAGAAACCUGCUAAGCAUCAUCAAAACACACUAAAUCAAUUUUCUUUGUAAAGAUAUAAGACGAGUAGCAUUUUAUGGCGUUAUAAAAAAAUGGUCAAUUUGGACGCAUUUCCAGACUUCGGUUUCUUACCAGAGCGCAUCUUUGCACCUGCGGUCCAGCUGCCCGGUGACCGCAGUGCGAAGCCGCCCCCUCGCCUCCCUCGUAGGAUGAAGGGAAGCAAGGCGCAUGUGUGUUGCGUGUCUAUGCCCCUGGGGAACAGGACCGUGGGUGCAGAGAUGAGCUCUGAUAAGAAACUGAAACCUAGAAACUCGUCCAAAUAAAGCUUUUUACAGAAUGCAUAAAACGCUACCCCUGAAUUAUAUCCUUUUAAAAAGACAUUAUUUUGUGGUUUUCAAUGACUCAGCAAGUUUCUAAUUGAAACCAUAUUUUCAUUUUCACUAAUUAAAAAGUUGAUUAACAAAUUGUAUUUAAUUAUCUGACUGAUCGUUACGACUAGGUCCCUAUACUACGUACGCCUGGCCGUAUAACUCGCCUGCACAAACCGCAUUAAUAUAGCUUUCACGACCUUUCUAAACAUAUAUGUAAAGCUUAAAACUAAAUCGCCCUGUACAACAGUGAAAAGGCGAAACCAACACGCUGGAGCCAUAUGGCUCCACCACGCUGGUAUCGCCUUUUUGCUGGUAUAGGAUGUCCCAUAUUACGUUAUGCAUGUAUGGUUCCGUCCGCCUACAUGGUUCCGCCUAUAUCCACUACGCUGGUAUAGGAUGUCCCAUAAUACGACACGCUUGUAUGGUUCCGCCCACCUGUAUCG